ACACCCAUAUCCGAUUGUUUUUUUAGUAGUGAAUACAAUAUUAAGUUCAUUAACCUGUACUCAUCAGUGUCCGUUAUUAUAGCCUCUAAUAAUUAUUAUCUUCCAAAUUAUCCUAAUUAUCAAUUGAAAAUCUGCAGUCAUUUGAAAGUCAUGCGUUAAGUGUGUUGAUUUGAACUUUUUUUUUGCGGUGUAUAGUUUUUU